ACCUUUAACCCCACAUAUGGGUUAAGCCGUCAAGAUGAAUGCACUCAGUGCACACCUGGUUCAUAUUGCAAUGUAGCAGGCCAACCUACAGUGGGUGGCCAAUGUGAUCCUCAGUUCAACUGUAUAUUAGGUGUAGACACACCACAGCCUAAUAAUGCUACUAAUAAGGGUUCUGGAGGACCAUGUCCAGUAGGUCAUCAAUGUAUGAAUGGAACAGCUGUGUUAUGUCCCCCAGGAACAUAUGCAAACACUGAAAGACAGCCUUUAUGUACAGUUUGUACUGCAGGGGGUUACUGCAGUGGGGGAACCAUCAACCCCGAAGCUUGCCCCAUGGGUCAUUACUGUUUACCUGGUACCAUGUCUGCACACCAGUACCCAUGCGAUGCUGGAACAUUUAACAACAAAACUGGUAAAAAAUUGA